UAUAGUCGAGACAAAAUAAUUAAUUCGCAGUAUAGCACUUCAUUUUAUGGAGUUGUCUUGUCGUUCUGAAAAAGAUGACAAGCAUGUGAAAAAAGUUGUUGUCUUGCAGAAAAAUUUAAUAAUUAAUUUGCAAUAUAGUACUGCGUUUUAAGGAGUUUUCUUGCCGUUCUGAAAAAGAUGAAAAUCAUGUGAAAAAAGCUGC
rnacentral:lncRNA from 1 species